UCUCUCUCUCUCUCUCUCUCUCUCUCUCUCUCUCUCUCUCUCGCUCUCUCGCUCUCUCGCUCUCGCUCUGCUUCCCUGGAAGAUGUCUGUCCAUGUCUGGCAUGCACCUGAGCUUCUCCAUUCCCAUUUACUGUGUCCUCUGCUAAUCAGGCUAAUCAGCAAGAGAGCCUUAUAAACAAAGGUGAACAGGGACCCAAAGAGAUCUACUGCCCAACCUUCUGCAGGACCUUGUCAUUGAAAUGCAGACCUAUCCCAGUGUGAGGGAAUCGUAUGAAGCACUAAACGAUAAAGAAAAGCUUCGGGACACUCUCCAUCUACAGAUGCCUGAAUUAAAUAUGAAGAAUUCCUCCUACUGAGUUUUUGACAUUGGAGUCAUGUAUUGGCCUGCUUAGAGCCAUCUAGUCACUGGACUAAGUGGACAUUAAAUCAGACGGCAUACAAAGUUACAGAAAUUUUAUCUGUAGAUAAACCACACACCUUGAGGAACUAACACAGUUCCAGAUGAAUCAACUCUGCACACUGAGGAGCAGAAGUUCCCUGCAGCAACCACACAAUCAUCUCUACACAGAGCAGCAACUGCCACAAUUAACUUAUGCCGUGAUAAACUUACAGUCUAUUGGAAAUGCUGAGCUCCGGGUAGAGGCAUACACUAAAGCAAGAGGAGGUGGGUGCUGGUAGGGUGCCUGUCUUCUCAGUACAUGGAAGGUAGAAGAGAACGUAAGGCUUCAGAGACUAGCCUUAGUCACGUAGCAGCAUAGAGGUGACAGAGGCUAUAGGGGAAUUGUUCCACUAUUUACACCUGUUAAACAGCUAAGACUCAGGGGUUAAAUUCUUAUCUAUGAUCUAAUGAAAUAUUUGUGUCCAUUCUAUAUUGAUAAUCCUAAAAUUCCAUUUUAUCGUCUCUGUGACUGCAG